AGAGUUUGAUCCUGGCUCAGAUUGAACGCUGGCGGCAUGCUUUACACAUGCAAGUCGAACGGCAGCAUGGGCUUCGGCCUGAUGGCGAGUGGCGAACGGGUGAGUAAUACAUCGGAACGUGCCUAGUAGUGGGGGAUAACUACUCGAAAGAGUAGCUAAUACCGCAUGAGAUCUAAGGAUGAAAGCAGGGGACCUUCGGGCCUUGCGCUACUAGAGCGGCCGAUGGCAGAUUAGGUAGUUGGUGGGAUAAAAGCUUACCAAGCCGACGAUCUGUAGCUGGUCUGAGAGGACGACCAGCCACACUGGGACUGAGACACGGCCCAGACUCCUACGGGAGGCAGCAGUGGGGAAUUUUGGACAAUGGGCGCAAGCCUGAUCCAGCAAUGCCGCGUGCAGGAUGAAGGCCUUCGGGUUGUAAACUGCUUUUGUACGGAACGAAAAGCUUCUGGUUAA
rnacentral:rRNA from 1 species